UACGUAGGGGGCUAGCGUUGUCCGGAAUCAUUGGGCGUAAAGCGCGUGUAGGCGGCCAGGUAGGUCUGGUGUGAAAACUCGAGGCUCAACCUCGAGAGGUCAUCGGAAACCAUCUGGCUAGAGUCCGGAAGAGGAGAGUGGAAUUCCCGGUGUAGCGGUGAAAUGCGCAGAUAUCGGGAAGAACACCUAUGGCGAAGGCAGCUCUCUGGGACGGUACUGACGCUGAGACGCGAAAGCGUGGGGAGCGAGCAGG
rnacentral:rRNA from 1 species